CAGGCAUGAGGAGAAUCGUCACACAGGUGGCGCGUCCUUACCUUAGAGCCCUCACCCGGCACAGGCAUGAGGAGAAUCGUCACACAGGUGGUGCGUCCUUACUUUAGAG